rnacentral:rRNA from 1 species
GACGAACGCUGGCGGCGUGCCUAAUACAUGCAAGUAGAACGCACAGUUUAUACCGUAGCUUGCUACACCAUAAACUGUGAGUUGCGAACGGGUGAGUAACGCGUAGGUAACCUGCCUGGUAGCGGGGGACAACUAUUGGAAACGAUAGCUAAUACCGCAUAAUAUUAAUUAUUGCAUGAUAAUUGAUUGAAAGAUGCAAUUGCAUCACUACCAGAUGGACCUGCGUUGUAUUAGCUAGUAGGUGAGGUAACGGCUCACCUAGGCGACGAUACAUAGCCGACCUGAGAGGGUGAUCGGCCACACUGGGACUGAGACACGGCCCAGACUCCUACGGGAGGCAGCAGUAGGGAAUCUUCGGCAAUGGACGAAAGUCUGACCGAGCAACGCCGCGUGAGUGAAGAAGGUUUUCGGAUCGUAAAGCUCUGUUGUAAGAGAAGAACGGGUGUGAGAGUGGAAAGUUCACACUGUGACGGUAUCUUACCAGAAAGGGACGGCUAACUACGUG